rnacentral:rRNA from 1 species
UACGUAGGGGGCGAGCGUUGUCCGGAUUUAUUGGGCGUAAAGAGCUCGUAGGCGGUUUGGUAAGUUGGAUGUGAAAUCUCCAGGCUCAACUUGGAGGGGUCAUUCGAUACUGCCAUGACUAGAGUUCGGUAGGGGAGUGUGGAAUUCCUGGUGGAGCGGUGAAAUGCGUAGAUAUUGGGAAGAACACCGGUGGCGAAAGCGCCUUGCUGGACCUGCACUGACACUGAGGGACGAAAGCUAGGGGAGCGAAAGGG